GCUCCCUUAGCUCAGCUGGAUAGAGCAACGGCCUUCUAAGCCGUCGGUCGCAGGUUCGAAUCCUGCAGGGGGCG
rnacentral:tRNA from 2 species